CUGCACUCAAAUUUCUUUGCUGCCGCACAUUUAUAUGUCAUUUCUUGCAACAGAACACAUUGUGGCUCAUCAUUAUUACUCUGGUCCAUCAUUUAUGUUCAAAUGGGAACAAGUCCAAGACUUCCGUGCUUAUGUAUUCACUUGUGAAAAUCCCAAACUUACUGGCAGGUUUAGAACGUUGAAUUUCUAUUACUGAACUCCUUGUGUAAAAUCUGAGUUUGGCUCUUACACAGGAGUGUCAGGUCUCAGAUCUUCCACCAGGUUAGACCAAGUGUAGGAUUCUUGAACUCAUCAAUUUGAAUAGAAAUUAUAGGGCUACUGAUAAUAAAGCAAGGGGAAGGUAUAUUCCUCUUUUGAAUUGUUAUAGUCAUAAGGCACAGAACUAGAUGCAUCAGCCCAUCAAGAAUCCCUUCGCAAUAAUCUUAUGUGCUCCCAUUUUAUUAUCCCCACAUUCUCAUUAAUUGCCUAGAUUCUAGUCUUGGGGCAAUUUAUGAUUGCCUAUUAACAGACUAACCCACACAUCUGGGAUGUGGGAGGAAACCAGAACAGUUGAAGAAAACCCGUGUGGUCACAGGGAGAACAUGUACACACCACAGAGACAAUGCAGAGGUUAGUAUUUAAUCUGGGUCACUACUGCUGUGAGGCAGCAGCUGUACUGGCUGCAUCCUUGUGUAAUGUUCUUAUUUAUUUAUGUGGUUUGGUUAUUUACUUAUUUUGUUGGAGCCAUUCAUAAUCAGGCUAGUUACUGUUGGCAUAUUAUAUUAUUGUGUCUAGAUAUUUCUAGUAGUAUUAUUUUGAACACUUGGGGGCGGGUAUUUGAUACACAGAUGGGCGUUACAUAUAUCAGAGUUGGACAGGGAGGAGCCAGAUCAGACCAGGAACAGGAGUUGGAGAGAACACUGUUCUCACCAGAUAGUAAGAACGGAAAGCUACAAUUUGUAUAAGAAUAAAGAGGAUCUGGAAUGUUCAUCUUUUUGUCUGUACAAUUACUUCAAUAAAGAAGCAAUUGUUGGAAAUAACGACUGGAAGAUCCGUUCUUUUCAUCUGUGUAAGAUCACUCCCACUUACCCGUGUAGUAAUGGCAACGGAAAGUUGGACAUUGGAAAAGGUUGAAAUAUCCAUUACAUUUAAGUGAGAACUUGUCUCUGUGAGUGAAACCGGAGCUUGUGAAAUGUGGGAAAAAAAGGAUUGUUUCAUUUCACAAGCCUGACGCAGUAAUGCUCGAUCAAUUGGACAAGGUCGUCACCUGCGCUAAGCUGAAUAAUGAAGAUUAGAAACUUCAAAGCCAACACAGGGAAUCCAAAGUCUCUAAAUUCAGCGCCUUAUUCUGAUCUUCCAAUCCACCAAUAGAUGCGAGUCGCAGAAAAAAAAUGUCGAGAUUUCCAGCAUCAGCAUUUUAUUGACUGGAGGACAAUACAGAUGUUCAGCAGCUGUGGAAGAUUCUUCAGGAGGGUGAACCCUUGGAAAACAUCUGGACCUGAUGGUGUACCUGGUCUCAUUCUCAACAUCUGUGUAGAAAAUUGGCUGGAGUUUUUUGUGGACAUCGGCAACCUCUCAGUACUGAGGUUUGAGGUUCCCACCUACUUUAAAAGGACAUCAAUAAUACCGGUGCUCAAAAAGAGUAAGGUGACAUGUCUCAAUGACAAUUGACCAGUGGCACUAUCGUCUAUGAUGAUAAGUGCUUUAAGAAGUUGGUUAUGGCUCAUAUGAUGGAAACGUAUGCGUGGAGUUAACAGAAAAGAAAGUGCAGGAAAGGUCACGGGUGUCUCCAGAAAUAACAGGACAGAAAGUUUAAAAAGGGAGAAGAGAGUCAGGUCGGGUAAAAUUGGGAUGGUUGAGAGGGGAGGUCAACACCGAAUUGAAGAUAUUAUAUUUGAAUGCACGUAGCAUUAGGAACAAAGUUGAUGAGCUUGUAGCACAGUUGGAAAUUGGCAGGUAUGAUGUAGGCAUUGGGUAGAUGUGGCUGCAAGAGAUCAGAGCUGGGAGCCGAAUAUUCAGGGUUAUACGUUCUAUCGGAAAGACAGAAAGGUGGACAGCUCUGGUGUGGUUAGGAAUGAAUUUCAGUCUUUAGGAGAGGUGACAUAGGAUCAGAAGAUGUAGAGUCAUUGUGGAUAGAGCUGAGAAAUUAUAAGGGUAAAAAGACACUAAUGAGAGUUAGUUACAGGCCCC